GCUUUUGUGGUGUAAUGGUAGCACACUCGGCGCCUAUUCGAGAGGUCCAGGUUCGAGUCCCGGCGAAGGCA
rnacentral:tRNA from 1 species